rnacentral:rRNA from 1 species
CCUACGGGAGGCAGCAGUAAGGAAUAUUGGACAAUGGCCGCAAGGCUGAUCCAGCCAUGCCGCGUGCAGGAAGAAGGCCCUAUGGGUCGUAAACUGCUUUUGAACCAGAGAAAACCCCACUACGUGUAGUGGGCUGAUAGUAUGGUUAGAAUAAGCAUCGGCUAACUUCGUGCCAGCAGCCGCGGUAAGACGAAGGAUGCAAGCGUUAUCCGGAUUCAUUGGGUUUAAAGGGAGCGUAGGCGGACUUGUAAGUCAGUGGUGAAAUCUGUGGGCUUAACCCACAAACUGCCAUUGAUACUGCAGGUCUAGAGUACAGUUGCCGUUGGCGGAAUAUGACAUGUAGUGGUGAAAUACUUAGAUAUGUCAUAGAACACCGAUUGCGAAGGCAGCUAACGAAGCUGUAACUGACGCUGAGGCUCGAAAGUGCGGGGAUCAAACAGGAUUAGAUACCCUGGUAGUCCGCACUGUAAACGAUGAUUACUCGUUGCUGGAAAGCAAUUUUCAGUGACCAAGCGAAAGCGAUAAGUAAUCCACCUGGGGAGUACGCCGGCAACGGUGAAACUCAAAGGAAUUGACGGCGNGAGAGNGCGAGGACGACGACGAGGGGAGGAGG